rnacentral:rRNA from 1 species
UACAGAGGUCCCGAGCGUUGUUCGGAUUUAUUGGGCGUAAAGGGUGCGUAGGCGGCGGAGUAAGUUGGGUGUGAAAUCCCGAGGCUCAACCUCGGAAUUGCAUUCAAUACUGCUUCGCUCGAGUACUGGAGAGGAGGCUGGAAUUUACGGUGUAGCAGUGAAAUGCGUAGAUAUCGUAAGGAAGGCCGGUGGCGAAAGCGAGCCUCUGGACAGUUACUGACGCUGAGGAGCGAAAGCCAGGGGAGCAAACGGG